rnacentral:lncRNA from 1 species
UCAAAAAUAUUUACCCCUACACUAUCUGUACUUUUUUUCAUUCAUUUCUUAUGCAUCCUCCAGAUCUUCCAUGUAGAGAUUGAGUUAGGUUGAGGAGGAUCCUCUUUAGAAAGUCACACACUGCGAAUGCAGCGCAGGCACGUUAGUGUAAAUUGGCUCAGUCCAGUUAAUUUCUUGUGCCCCAAUGAAAUCCAUCAGAAUGAAGAACUGAAAUGUUCAUUUUUGAGAAGUGAUUUUGCAGCAUGUACUGAUGGUAGAUGUGGAAUGGAGAACUGGAGAACUGAACCCUAAUGGGAAAGGAUUUUGUAGUUCAAUUCAUCCUUGGGGAAGCAGGUUAUGAUGACGGGGGAGGAUCCCCAAGGAAAAUGUUGCACAACUAGAAAAAAAAAAUGUGUCUUUGGGCAUAGAAGAAGAUGAGGGAAAGGAAUUUUCCUCUCAUUUAUCGUAUGCCCAAUUAUGGAACUCCCAAGACUCAGCACCCAGACUGUGUGGAGAACACUCUGGCAUGGCAUUGUGGGUUAGAGACGUGAGUGAGCCAGUCUGUCAAUCUGAUGAUGGCUUUCAACAUCUCUUAAUGAAGUAGAAUGAUCUGCUCUUGAAAAGUACGUCGUUUUUAAACAAAGGGCUCCAAGAAGUGACUUCAGUUGACAGAGGCAGGGAAUGAAGGACACCCCCCAGUCCUUCAUGCAGCUUUGCCCACCUCCAGCCUCUCAUUAUCCCCAGCCUCACGCUGAAUUGACCCCAAUUUACAGUCCUGCUCAGCCGCUCACGUGGGACGAGUUGCCAUUAGGACUGAACAGGACUUCCUUUGUUUCCCUCCCAUUUCUGCUCCUCGAUGCACAAUAUAGAAAUGGAUUUCACUUUAAGAAGAUCAAAGCAGUAACUCUAGUAUGGCUAUGUUGUUUCAAUAAAAAGAUUGUUGACUGCUGAAGGUGGGUUUUUCUCAAAGAGCCACUGGCCCAUACAGAGUCCUAAAUAAUCCUUCUCGAAGAAAUGGGAAAUAUAUCAAGGAGCAAACAUAGGUUUCCUUUCAUUCCUCCUGUCCAUGUUUCUUACUUGGUUAUAUUACGAAGUCUUGAGAGGAAAAAAAUGACCACUUGUGUACACAAGGUUCACAUAAGCAAUAGAAGCAAAUGAAUCAAUCAAAAAAAAUGGCCUCCUCUAAAACAAUGAAGAAAACACGGAGAGAAACUAAUUUUUUUUUCUUUUUUGUAACCACAAAGUCAGCUUUGAGCAACUUGUAUAAUGGGGGAGCAUCUGUAGCAGGGUGGGUGACCCCUGAUGGUUCCACCUCAGUCCGAUGCCUCGUGUUUAACAGUGAGUCAAGAACAAUUUUAUAGUCAAUUAAAAAUGAUAAACCACCAUGAAAACCACAAUUGUUUUGGAUAACCCUAUCAAUGGUAAUGUUUCUACUCUUAACUUGAUAGAUAUCUAGGUCAUUUUAAGUUGAUUCUAAGAUAAUGUUGGAUUAACCGAAUUCUGUCAUUUCUAUUCUAUGUUCCUGUGAUUAAGAAGAAAACCUUUAAAUUUUUUUUGUAAAAACCCCUAGAAUAGUUUAAAUGCCAAUGAGUGCAAUUAUGAGGAGUUUCUUGUUGUUUUUAACCCUAUUCAGCCUGUCUGAUCAGUUUAUGUUUGUGUCCUACCUCUAGCCCUGAGGGCAAGGCAAGAUCUGAUCUUGGAAGGCUUAACUUUCAGGUAUUAAGGAUAAAAGGUUUUCCCAUCAAUGAAUCUUGCUAUGUUGUCCAGGCUGGCCUCAAACUCCUGGGCUCUAGCAAUCCUCCUGCCCCUGACCCUGGCCGCUGGUACCACAAGAGACACCAUCACACCCAACUGUGCUUAGUAUUUCUGCCUCUUUGAUUCUCGGCUGAACUAUACAUUUACUCUUUGUUUUUUAUGUAUGUUUCUAGCAUACUGUAUCUGUAUUUAUAAAAUCUGCUUUUGUUGUAAUUCCAGCCUUUGGGGAGAUAGGAAAAUGAAAUUACCAUCUUUCUUGAUGGCAGGGGGACAAAAAACUAAAAUAUAUUCAGCAUCUUUGUGAAAUGGUGGGCAUCUUUUCUUUUAAAAGAUUUGUAGAAUUCAUUCAUAUGAAGCCUAAUACCAUAUGAUGACAGGGGAAACGCUGAGUGGCACUGCACUCUUGAGCAGUCUUACCAUGUCACUCAUCUUAGCAGGUUAACUAAGUUUUUAAUCAAAGUCCAGAACUUUUUAUACAUCCU